rnacentral:snoRNA from 1 species
ACAAGAUGAACGUUCUAGAUGACGAGUCUGAAAUGUUGCGAACGAGCUUCUCCGCCGCAGCAGUCAUUGACGAUUCCUUUAAAACUAUACCAUUCAUGCUUUUCUGACC